UAAAAUUUUUGUUGAGUUUAAGUUUUUCAACUAAUAUUUAUAUUUUAUUUUAUUAUUUUUAACAGUUUUAGUUUUAGUUAAUGAUAAUAACCUUGAUCAUUAGAAAGUGCAUUUUUUAGUGUGUUAAGAAAAAUAGUGUGUUAAGUACAUUUAUGUGGCUAUUUAUUUAAUUAAAAUUGCAUUAUCUGCAAGUGUACAGUUUUUUUUUUAAAUAUACUUUUUAAAUUUGACACUUACACUACACUAAGUGCACAUUCAAAACAAUUAAGUGCUUUUUAACAAUGGUUGAUUUUCAUUGCAUGCAUGGACGAAAAAAAAUUAAAACUUCAUUUGUUCCGCAGAAGAAGGAAAGUCAUGAAGGGCUUUUCUUCGAGAUUCCUGUCUGUAGUGCUCCUCAAGAAAUUCCAGAAUCACCUCCAAAUCAGUUUGAUAUUCCUGCGCACUGUUCUGGGUUUAACUGUUCUGGAACAUCUGUGGUAAAGUGUGGAAUUGUUUCCUGUCUGCUGUGGAUGAUAAAAUGUAGGAGACUGUGCUUGAAGGGUAUGAAAACCUUUCCUCCACUGUGGCUCACAAGGUAAUUAAAUUUGCAAUUUAAUCUCCAGCAUUUUUCGCAUAGUGUUACCAUAGUGUCAAUGUGUGACUUCCCUGUUUGUCAUUUGAAAUUACAUUAUUUGUAAUGCAAUAAUUGAGCACUUAACAUUAAAAAAAAAGUAAAAUGUAAAUGAUCAAUGAAUUAAUGUGGUUAUAAUCUACAGCCCUUUAAUUAAACCAUGUUUUGGAUUCUUCUCUUGCUCUCUCUCUCUCUCUCUAAAUGUUUGUGUGAAUUUUUCCAUUGGUUUAUGAAUUUAUGUAUGCGUCUCACGCCUGCCAAAGUAUUUACAUUUUCUGGCAAAGCAGUAGCGAGGGCUUUAUCUUUUCAAACAAAGAGCUGCUUUCCUUCCCCUUCUCUUCAAACCCUAUUCAAAAGGACCAUUAAUACCAAACCCAAUGAGGGAAGGGCAGUAUAACCACAACAUAGCUCCUAUUCAACUUCUUUAUUUACUGGCACUCAAUCAAAAUAAGUUCCCAAAGUGUCUGCACAGGUAAACAGAUCACUCAGGCUGUCUGAUGAAGUUAACCCAUAACGUGGCUUACCGAUUCUGGGUAAGAAAACAAUACUGCUGUAAUUGUUCUUAUUAAGCCUGGCCUGUUUGCUUUGUAUAUAUAAUGGCAGACUUUUGUACUCUUCUUUUCCAAUAUAUAGUAUAAAAGUAGGCCCAAACCUUAGUCAUGCUUUUAUUUUCUUUGCUUGGUUUUAUUACAAAAACAAAUUAGUUGUAUUCCUUUUAACAUUAAGAAUGGAUAAAACAUUUGUUUGUUUAUUUUUAUUUGCUUAUUUUCUGUUUUUUUAUUAGAUUGUUUUGCAAAAUCAAAGAUGUCUUCUUUUCAACCUUAAGAACAGCUAAAACAUUUUUAAUUUAUUUUUGUUUGUUUCACAAAAGCAAAUAAGCUUGCUUAUUUAUUUAUUAAUUUAUUUAUUAAUUAAUUAAUUUAUUUAUUUAUUUCACCAUAUUGUUAAACAAAUUGAAUAUACUGCACUUUAAAAUGUUAGUUAACAUGAUAUUCUGAUAAGCUUUUUCCAUCAACUGCCACAUAAUUCCAUAAAUGGAACACACCCAUUUAUCUGACAAUAUUGUUUACCUCUUGGGUUGUCAUGACAAUAAUCUGGGUAUUUAAUUUCAUAUAGCCUGUCCUCCUGUGUCCCUUAAACUGAACAGCAUUGUGGGAUGUCAUAGUCAGCUAAGGGUACAUCUAUGUUGCCUAUAAAAACCAUUUGAUAAAUAUGCAUCUUGUAAGCAAACAUUGAGUUUGAUGCCAUCAUAUACUUGGCCUUAUUUUAACGAUCUAAGCGCAUGGCGCAGGUGCACUUAGGGUGUGUCCGAAUCCACUUUUGCUAGUUUAAGGACGGGAAAAAUGGUUGGCACGCCCGGCGCAUGGUCUAAAAUGGUUAUCCCUAUUCUCUUAAUGAGUAAUGGGUGUGUUUUUGGCAUAACGUCAACAAAUGAAUCAGAGUCUCAUUUCCCAUUCUCUUUAAAAGCCAGUUGCACUCGUGCUAUGGCAGAUUCGCUAUUUACAUGGCGGAAUUUGCAAAUGGAAAAACUGAACGCGUCUAUAGCGAGGAAACGGAUCUGCUCGUGCUCGAGGUUAAAGCGUGCGAGCAGACCAUCUAUGGGAAGAGCCGGAUUCCACCAAAGCAUUUUAUCUUUAUGCACACAAUAAUAAUUUUUUACAUUGUAAUCCUUUUAUUUUUAGUAUUUGCCAUGUAUAUGUACUGCUGCGCUUUCCUGCAUGUGUAAUAAGCAGAGUGUAUGUGCGUUGUGAACCCGCAAAUUACUAACACAAUCUUUAAAUAACAAAUUAAAUAUUGCGGCAUUGACGUAGACCAGGUUUCAGUUGGUCAAUGGCGCAGUCUAUUUCAGUUGCCUCAAAAUAUUAACGUGCCAACAAAGCGCCUGAACACACCUCGUUUUCAGACCAGCAUGCCCAUGGGCGCAAAUGCAUUUGCUAUUUAAACAACAUGGCUCAGGACGUGAAAAUGAUAACUGCGUCGGGCUGAAACUAGCAAAAAACACUUGCGUCGCGCCGAGUGUAUGAUAAGGCCCACUGUCUUUUUCAGAUUUUGGACACAUCAUUAACACUCUGGGGUCGGCGGUCACGCCGGCGUGAUCACCGCGUUUUUUUUCUAACCAGUGUGAAAGAGACUCAAAAUACUCUGUCAAUGUUGCACAUACAAUUAAG